UACGUAGGGUGCAAGCGUUAAUCGGAAUUACUGGGCGUAAAGCGUGCGCAGGCGGUUCGCUAAGACAGAUGUGAAAUCCCCGGGGCUUAACCUGGGAACUGCAUUUGUGACUGGCGGGCUAGAGUAUGGCAGAGGGGGGGUAGAAUUCCACGUGUAGCAGUGAAAUGCGUAGAGAUGUGGAGGAAUACCGAUGGCGAAGGCAGCCCCCUGGGCCAAUACUGACGCUCAUGCACGAAAGCGUGGGGAGCAAACAGG
rnacentral:rRNA from 1 species